rnacentral:misc_RNA from 1 species
GAUGAAGAACGUAGCGAAAUGCGAUAAGUAAUGUGAAUUGCAGAAUUCAGUGAAUCAUCGAAUCUUUGAACGCACAUUGCGCCCCUUGGUAUUCCGAGGGGCAUGCCUGUUCGAGCGUCAUUAUAACCCCUCAAGCUCAGCUUGGUGUUGGGGCCUGCUGCACUGGCAGCCCUUAAAAUCAGUGGCGGCGCCAUCUGGCUCUAAGCGUAGUAAUUCUUCUCGCUAUGGAGUCCUGGUGGAUGCUUGCCAUCAACCCCCAAUUUUUCUAUGGUUGACCUCGGAUCAGGUAGGGAUACCCGCUGAACUUAAGCAUAUCAAUAAAGCGGAGGA